AACAAACAAACCCAAAGACGAACCAUAAUA
rnacentral:piRNA from 1 species